GAUGAACGCUGGCGGCGUGCCUAAUACAUGCAAGUCGAGCGAAUGGAUUAAGAGCUUGCUCUUAUGAAGUUAGCGGCGGACGGGUGAGUAACACGUGGGUAACCUGCCCAUAAGACUGGGAUAACUCCGGGAAACCGGGGCUAAUACCGGAUAACAUUUUGAACCGCAUGGUUCGAAAUUGAAAGGCGGCUUCGGCUGUCACUUAUGGAUGGACCCGCGUCGCAUUAGUUAGUUGGUGAGGUAACGGCUCACCAAGGCAACGAUGCGUAGCCGACCUGAGAGGGUGAUCGGCCACACUGGGACUGAGACACGGCCCAGACUCCUACGGGAGGCAGCAGUAGGGAAUCUUCCGCAAUGGACGGAAGUCUGACGGAGCAACGCCGCGUGAGUGAUGAAGGCUUUCGGGUCGUAAAACUCUGUUGUUAGGGAAGAACAAGUGCUAGUUGAAUAAGCUGGCACCUUGACGGUACCUAACCAGAAAGCCACGGCUAACUACGUGCCAGCAGCCGCAGUAA
rnacentral:rRNA from 1 species